rnacentral:rRNA from 1 species
AGUGACCGAUAGCGCAUAGUACUGUGAAGGAAAGGUGAAAAGGACCCCGGGAGGGGAGUGAAAGAGAACCUGAAACCCUGUGUUUACAAGCUGUCGGAGCACGAUAAGUGCGACGGCGUACUUUUUGUAGAACGGUCCGGCGAGUUAUGAUACGCGGUAAGGUUAAGGACUUAAGGUCCGGAGCCGAAGCGAAAGCGAGUGUUAAGAGCACGAGGAAUCACGUAUCAUAGACCCGAAACCGGGUGAUCUAUCCAUGUCCAGGAUGAAGCUGCCGUAAGAGGUAGUGGAGGUCCGAACACACAUCCGUUGAAAAGGGUGGUGAUGAGGUGUGGAUAGGGGAGAAAUUCCAAUCGAACCCGGAGAUAGCUGGUUCUCCUCGAAAUAGCUUUAGGGCUAGCCUUCAGUUAGUCUGCCGCAGGUAGAGCACUGAAUUUCCUAGGGGGCGUCAAAGCCUACCGAAGAAUAUCAAACUGCGAAUGGCGGACAGAUGAUGCUGGGGAGUCAGACUGCACGAGAUAAGUUGGGUGGUCAAAAGGGAAAGAGCCCAGACCUACAGCUAAGGUCCCAAAGUGCGUGUUAAGUGGAAAAGGAUGUGGGAUUUCGAAGACAACUAGGAUGUUGGCUCAGAAGCAGCCACACAUUAAAAGAGUGCGUAAUAGCUCACUAGUCGAGAGGUCCUGCGCCGAAAAUGUCCGGGGCUGAAACACGACACCGAAGCUUAGGAACAGAAAUGUUGGUAGAGGAGCAUUGUUAGCGGAACGAAGCCAUACCGGAAGGAGUGGUGGACUGCUAAGAAGAGAGAAUGCCGGAAUGAGUAGCGAGAUUGAAGUGAGAAUCUUCAAGGCCGAAUAUCUAAGGUUUCCAGGGUAAAGCUGAUCUGCCCUGGGUAAGUCGGGGCCUAAGGCGAGGUCGAAAGACGUAGCCGAUGGACAACAGGUUGAAAUUCCUGUACUGCGAUAUAUCAGAAAUGUGGGGACACAGAAGGAAAGUGUGAGCCGGGAAAGGAAAGACCGGUGCAAGCACAGGAGGAGAGAUACAGGCAAAUCCGUAUUUCAAUCCAAUGGUGUUACGCGGAGCGAACAAAAGUAGCGAAGCACACAGACCAUCUGUCGAGAAAAGCCGCUAUUGUGUAUAUUGUACCCGUACCGUAAACCGACACAGGUGGAUGAGGAGAGAAUCCUAAGGCCGGCGGGAGAAGCAUUGUUAAGGAACUCGGCAAAAUGACCCCGUAACUUCGGGAGAAGGGGUGCCCUGUGAAAGCAGGGCCGCAGAGAAUAGGCUCAAGCAACUGUUUAGCAAAAACACAGGUCUAUGCGAAACCGAAAGGUGAGGUAUAUGGGCUGACGCCUGCCCGGUGCUGGAAGGUUAAGAGGAGAUGUUAGAGCAAUCGAAGCAUUGAAUUUAAGCCCCAGUAAACGGCGGCCGUAACUAUAACGGUCCUAAGGUAGCGAAAUUCCUUGUCGGGUAAGUUCCGACCCGCACGAAAGGCGUAAUGAUUUGAGCGCUGUCUCGACAAUGCACCCGGUGAAAUUGAAAUACCAGUGAAGAUGCUGGUUACCUGCGCCAGGACGGAAAGACCCCAUGGAGCUUUACUCUAGCUUGAUACUGGGAUUCGGUAUUGCAUGUACAGGAUAGGUGGGAGACUAAGAGGUGAUGACGCCAGUUGUCACGGAGUCGAUGUUGGGAUACCACCCCUGCAGUACUGGGUUUCUAACCUGCGGCCGUGACCCGGCCGGGGGACAAUGUCUGGUGGGGAGUUUGACUGGGGCGGUCGCCUCCGAAAGGGUAUCGGAGGCGCUCAAAGGUUCCCUCAGAAUGGUUGGAAACCAUUCGAAGAGUGCAAAGGCAGAAGGGAGCUUGACUGCGACACCGACGGGUGGAGCAGGUACGAAAGUAGGACUUAGUGAUCCGGUGGUAUAAAGUGGGAUUGCCAUCGCUCAACGGAUAAAAGCUACCCUGGGGAUAACAGGCUUAUCACUCCCAAGAGUUCACAUCGACGGAGUGGUUUGGCACCUCGAUGUCGGCUCAUCGCAUCCUGGGGCUGUAGUAGGUCCCAAG